AACAUAAGUACAAUCCAAAUCCUAUCUUUUAAAAUGGCAAUACCAAAAAAUUGAUGGAAAACUAAUGAAAAAAUUGUGAAAGAGAAAUUUACUUUCUACUCUGGGUAAAAAAAAAACACCUUUUUCUGAAUAAGUUUUCAGUGCUGAGUCAGAUCAAUUUGCACCUUAGGUGCAAUACAAUGAAACUUUACUAUAUAUUUACUUACUUUUAGUAAAGACAGCAUCUUCUUGAGAGUUAUCAGUCUGAUAAGUUCUAUCAGAAACCGUUCCAUCAUCUCUCUGUAACAAAUACUUGAAAUUAAGUUAUCAG